rnacentral:rRNA from 1 species
AUUGAACGCUGGCGGCAGGCCUAACACAUGCAAGUCGAGCGAGGGGCGGACGGGUGAGUAAUGUCUGGGAAACUGCCUGAUGGAGGGGGAUAACUACUGGAAACGGUAGCUAAUACCGCAUACCAUCAGAUGUGCCCAGAAGGGAUUAGCUAGUGGGUGGGGUAACGGCUCACCUAGGCGACGAUCCCUAGCUGGUCUGAGAGGGUGACCAGCCACACUGGAACUGAGACACGGUCCAGACUCCUACGGGAGGCAGCAGUAGGGAAUAUUGCACAAUGGGCGCAAGCCUGAUGGAGCCAUGCCGCGUGUGUGAAGAAGGCCUUCGGUUUGUAAAACGCUUUUAGCGAGGAAGCGUUACUCACAGAAAAAGCCCCGGCUAACUCCGUGCCAGCAGCCGCGGUAAUUC